UGACUAUAAAUGGAAUGAUGAAGAAUAUUUGCUUAUCCAGGUGAAUCAUGGAACAGGACUGGCACGAAUUGACUGAGGAAACAUCGUGUCUGUCGGUACCGAGUUUAUUUCAUGAUGAGUUAU
ensembl:ncRNA F01G10.20 ncRNA